CUGGAAACAGCCACUCGUGGCGGCGUUGGUACACCGAAUAUCCCUGCACAAACCUCAACGGCACAACGGCAUUAUCAGACGACCGAAGUUCUUCCUGCUCCAAAGGUAACCUAUCGUCAGCUACCUGGCCCGGAGUGGAGCGGACCUGUGCCACUAAUCACCUGGGGGCGCGGUUACGCAGCUGUAUCAACACCAAGCGGCCCGCUCUGGGUACCUGCACGAUACGUUCGACCAUACAAGGAUGGCGUGGCAUCAGGGACUGAGCAACCCCAUCCCUGACUUCAACAUACACUUAUAUGAUGAACAAGGAAAAGUAACAACGGGCCGAAAACGAGGGGGCCAGCGAAAUGCACCUGCCACAUGGGGCCAAGUAAAGAACCUAGCUAAUCAGGCUGAACAACUGUUGGAAAAAACAGG